rnacentral:lncRNA from 1 species
UUCUCUGUUAAAGUGGAGCUACUCGGGAUUAUCUCAUUGACAAUUUCUUUAGUACUGUAAAGUAAUUUCAUUUCGGAGAUGUUAUGGAUGUUAAAUAGAUGUUCCAGUGGCAAUGUUAGCAAUUUUAGAACCUGCUUGAAGAGUUGGCAUCUAUUCAACAUAAAUAUACAGUGUUUGGAAUUACUCUGUUUAUAAAUGGAUAGAAGAAAUCCUGGGACCAUCUAACCUGUGCUGGGGAAUAUUCUGCAGCAAUCAAAAGCAAAGAAUGGUUUCAGAUAUAUCAAAAUUCCUGGGAUGCCUCAUGAAGCUGUCUAUGCAUUCGUUCGUUUUCUCUAUUCCUCCUGGUAUGUUGAAAGAAUGUUGCUAUAUUCUCGUUGUGCUUAAAACGAUCAAUAUGGUUUUCGGAGGAUUUGCAUGUUACUGAUUUAUUGGGUCCUAGAUUCCUUGAAAAUGAAUUAUUAUGGGUGUUGAUGAUUGAAAAAGGGGUCCCAGAUAUAUCAAAAUUGCUUGGUUUAUUUUUCUCAUGUACUGUAGUUCGUUUGUUCUAGUUUUCAAGAAUCGUGAGGCGUUGGUUAUUACGUCAUCCAUAUAUGCUUGGUAUAUGGUGUACUCUUUCAUUUAUAAAUAAAAUAAAGUUUGCUCAUUCCUUAGAGGUUUAAUGACAUCCAUCUCUGUAUAUAUAAAAGACUACGUCCAAUCAGAGUUUUGAUUUUAAAUAUAUUUUAGUUUGAAGGGCAUACGGAGCAGUGAUGAACACAUUUGACGAGUUGGAAUGGGGGAUAUGUUGAAGAGUUUUGUAACUAAAAUGUUGUAGCUCAAAACCAACUAACUUUUUUCUUUUCAGUUGAUUAAAUUCAUGACAAUACAAGAAAAGCUUUUAGUGUACGAGCCUUAGUAUAAUUUUUUAAAUAGAGCUUAUUUUACUAUAGCUUUAUUAGUUGAGCUUUUACAAGUAAAAUUUUUAAAUAAAAAAGAAUUAAUUAUUUGAUUGUUAACGAUAUUUUUUAUUUCUUUUAAAAUUAUGUUGUGAAAGAAAUGAAAUAAGAUUGUCAAAUAAGUAAAUGAUAGUUUUAAAAUUUUAACAUUUUAAAAAGCUUAUCAACCUUUACUGUCAAAAAUUCAAAAUUUGAGCUUUUGUUUGCAACGGUAAAAUAACUUAUUUAAUCAUAAAAAAUUCUAUUAAAAAAUUAACUAACAAUAAUAAUAAAUUUUAAAAGAGAUUAUGAGAUUAAAUAAAUACUUAUGGUCAUUAGAUAAGUGAUGCUAAGCAAAGACUAAAAAAUCAAAAAGAAAUAAAAAAACGCAACAGAUCAGCUUAUGGGAGACAAAAUGAGUUUUACCUUAAUUAAAUACAAGAAAUAAAAAAAUUGAGAAGCUCCACGCAGAGAGCAAGAAAAGUAGAGAACCAAAAGUUAACAUAAAUAAUAGUUUGAAAAGCCAUUAGCAUCUCUAGAAAGAAAAACUGAAGCUUAUGCAAGAGGUCAAGACCACAAGUGAAAGAAAAGGUAAAGCAUCUACAUGAGGUAACGAUCACCAAAUAAAGUCUGUACAAUGAAGCUCAGGAUUAACAAUGACAAUCUUGAGCAGUAAUGCAACAUCAAAAGAAUUUAUUCGGUUGGAGUCAGGGAAUGAAUGUGAUAAUAUUUGCUCCACGAUUUCUUUCCACCGAUUGUCCAUCGAGGCAUAUCAAGCAAGGAUGUGUUGUUGUAUUUGGAAUAUGCAGCUCACUUUUCAGAUCCAGCCUUUGGAAUUGGACUGUAUGCGCAAGCACGUAUGGAUUUGUCAUUGUUGCUCCACGUAUGUAAUAUUCUUUUGAUUCCAUUUUGAGGAAUAUCAUUAUGUAACACAUUCCGUUGACUUAUGAAACAGAGUAAACCAUGUUUCUUUCUUCUUUUUUUCAGUUGACUUUGCGGAGCUUGCCUACACAAUGAAGAUCACAGAACAACCCGACGUGUACAGUUUCGGAGUGCUACACUGGAAGUGAUCAAGGGGAUCCAAGAGGUUUUCUUUCCUCAGUUUCGUCUUCAUCUUCCAACAUGAACAUGCACGAGUAGCUGCUCUGCUAUAUCUAUUGAUUUUUGCUAGACUAGUCAUUAUUAUUUGAGUUUUAAAUAUUUGCCUUCAUUACUCAUUGUUGCACAAGCUAAUCGUACACAUCAUGCUAUGUAGGUCUCAAUUCGGAACAAAAGAACGUUAGUUGAAGACACACAACACAAAAUAUAAAAAAUUAGUUCGCAGAUGGCCACAAAAGACUAGCUACAUUUCUGUCCAAAAAAAAAAGAAAGAAAAGAAAUAAGAAAUAAUCUGUUUGUACGGCCUCUGUAAACCAACUGCUUCCAUGCCCCAAUUUCGAAACUAUCAUUGAUAUAGAGCCAUUAGUUCCAUCUCUCGCCUAAAGCUUCGGGAGAUAUGGUCAAAAAUCUCCUUAUCGCCAUACUUUUGCUACAAAAGCCAAUAGAAUUAAUGAUCCUUAUAAAUUAUGAAUUACAUCCUAAUCUACUUGCAUUAUUUUGGAUUAAAAAAAUCUUGCUUUGAUCAUCAUUCCGAUUGGAAAUAUCAAACUCUAAGGCUUGUCAUUAAUUGGGACAAAAUUUUAAUUACAUCUCAACUUCGUAAAUAGAAGUACUUAUGAUUGAAAUAUAAUUAAAGUAGCAAGAGGCCAUUUGAAGUGUAAAAGGAAAAGGAGAGAGAAGGGUAGCUAUAGAUGGAUAAGAUAUGGGUCAGAACGAAUCAACAUUUGAUAAAACCUUUUGGGAUUGUAUCUAACAACAUUUUUUUUUCUCGGUUGGAUCUCAGUGUUUAUACAAAAGCAAAGAUUUGGAUGACUAAAAUGUGACGCUAUACUUAUAAAGUAGAGAUAUAGAGUUUAUCACCAGUGUAAUAUAUACAUGGUCUUAAUUUACACAAUUCACCAUGUGACAGUGAGAUGAUGAUAAGGUAAAUUAUCAAUUAAAAACAUGACAGUUUGUAGUAAUGUUAGAUCAUAUGAUAUGCUUAUUGAGUUAAUGGUCAUGUUCGGUCCAAUUGAAUAAGUCUAAAGUAGUAGUAAAGUUGAAUAAGUCUAAGUUAGUUGAGAUAUUAUCAACUUAGUUUGUCAAGUAUCCAGUUCUUGAUUUGUUGAGAUUUAUUUUGUUUCAUUCAUGUUUCUGCUGUACGGCCAAGCGGAUGUACGGUACAGCAGUAAAAACCCCCUAAAUUAUUAAAAUUUUGGGAUUUAUUUUUAAUAAAUAAAUUCAGUUAUUUUAAUAACAUUUUGCAAAAUUAUAAAUUUUUAAUAAAUAAAAUCAGUUAUUUUAUUAAAAUUUUACAAAGUUUUAAUUUUUAAUAAAAAGAAUUAUUAAAAUUUUACAAAAUCUAAAUUUAAUAAAAAUCAGUUGAGCACCUCUAUUUGGAAUUUAUUUUUUAUUGAAUUUAUGGGUAUUUUUAUAAUAAUAAUUUUCAUAUUUUUCGAAGUUUUUAUAAAAUAAAAUGAUCUCUUAAUUUAUUUGGGGGUAAAAUUAUCAUUUAAUUUAAAUUAUUUAAUGGUGUUAGUUCAAAAGUGGAUAGUUGAUAUAAAUUUAAAAAGAAAAGUGGUGCAAAGAACAUGUUAAAAUUUUGUAGUGGUUAAAUGAACAUAAAAAAAAAACAGAGAUGGUGUAAUGAUAAUUUACUUUAAAAAAAUAAAGAACUAUAAUUUCUUGAAUAUUCAAUGAAUUAACAAAAGAAUUGUGAAUGAAGUUUUCUUUGGUAUUAACAUAUUGUUAUCUUUAAAUCACAAUUAUUGUGAAUAAUAAAAUUAUAAUAUAAAAGUAAAAAUUGACAAUGUAUAAUAAAUAUAACUUUUAAAUAAUAAUUUUGACAAAAAUAAUAAAGAUAUUACAAGUUUCCUAUCAUUAAAAUCAAAUCAUUUUAGCUUGUAAGUCAAGAAAAAAAAUUAAGGAUAAUUUACAAUUAAUGCAGUCCUUGUGGUUUAAGGAAAAAUCAAGUAAGCCAGAAAUCAUUAGUACUAUUUUUCAAAUAAGUCCUCUGACCGUGUUUGACCAUUCACCGUACUGCAAAGUAAGCGAAAAUAUCGACUUCUUAGCAGCCCACUUUUAUGAUGCGAUUAAUUUCAACCAUUCGCUGAUUCGCGUGCUGGUAGUUAGGCAAGUUCAUUUGUUGGCCGGAGAAAUUUGAUAUUUUUGGUACCAAAUUUAUACAUAUGUGUGCGUGUGUGUGUGUGUGUGUGUUUCCUUUAAUUUGUGAAUUUGGUAUUACUUCUCAUCAGGUGUGCGAAACAGAAACAACGGCAUUUAUUACAUAAAUAUUUCUAAUUUGCAGUAUGGAAAGCUUGGAGAUGUUAAAUCUCUCCCAAAAUAACCUGUCAGGUUCAAUUCUAAGUAAUUUUGAAGAAAUGCAUGGCUUGUCAUUGGUUGGUGCAUCUCCUACAUUGAAUUACAGGGCCCAAUUCCAGUUGACAGAUACACAGCCAGAAAAUAAAUAAACUCCGUACGGACAAACUUGACACUCCCGCGGCCAGAUAUGUUCCAAAAUCUACUUAUAGCCAUAAUUUUGAUACAAAAGCCAAUGGAAUUAUUGCCCCUUAUAAAUUAUGAAUUACAUCCUAAUCUAGUUGCUUAAUUUUGGAUAGAAAAUCUUGCUUUGAUCAUUAUACCGCUUAGAAAUAUCAAAUUCCAAGGCUCGUCAUUAAUUGGGAUAAAAUUUUAUAUCUCAGCUUUCUAAAUAAUUUUACUUAUCAUUCAAAUAUAAAGUGGCCAGAGGACAUGCCGAGCGUCAAAAUGAAAGGAGAGAGGAGUAGUAGAUAAGAUACGGGUUAGAAGGAGUCAAAAUUUGAUAAACUUUUUUGGAUUGUAUCUCACAAGUCACAACUUUUUUUCCUUUUCUCCUGUUUGGAUCUCAGUGUUUAUAUAAAGCAAAGAUUCAAGGCCCACGUGUCCAUAAGAUGAGCGAUGGUGUCUACCAGAUUAGUUCUCUGGAGUUUAGAUCACCGGGGUAACACAGACAUUGACUCCUUCACUUCUCAAUUGCUCUUUUGCUUCCGCUGUAAUUGUUUUCUGCAACGUCGUUAAAUUAUAUAUGAGUGUUUGAUAACCUUUUCAAUUUCAAUCAACUUUUGUAUUACCUUAAUUAUUUUGUUUCCUUUCUGCGUAAUUGAUCUUGUGUUUUUAUAAUAUCAAUGGUGUCACGAACCUUGAAUAGAGUAUCUUUUACUGUUUUGUUGAUUCUAUUUUAUACGUGUUUGUAUUAGAAUUUUUACUUAUCAUUGAAAAACCGGGGGAUGAAAUCUAACACGUACUAAUUAAAUUUAUUUCAUGAUAAUAAACUAAAUUUAUUUCAUGAUAAUAAACUAAAUUAAUUUUUUUAAUAAUUUGAUAACUUUACCUUAAAAGAAAAACUUUGGUAUGAAUUAUAACGCUUACUAUGGCAUGAACAUGGACCCUUUUUUCCCAAUCCAAAGCUUAUCCUAUGUUUGGCAAGGUUUUAUAUACUGGGAGAGGGAUAAAUAGAGAAAAACAUAUCUAUUGGAACCGUACCUCCAACAGGAUAAGUUGGGAAAAGCAAUCAAUAAUUUAACUAAUUAAUUAAAAUUAUAAAAAAUGUUGAGGGUGGGACAAAAUCAAAUUUAUUUUUUAUCCUUUACCUCCCCAUGAUACUAUUCAGUCAGGGCCUAGAGACAAAUUAAAUUAAUUAUUACUAAGAUAACAAUAUUAUAGGUAAAACAACUUAUUCUAAUUGAAUUAUUUAAUGAUACAUAUAUUACAUAAAUUAAAAAAUUAUAGAAAUUUUUAUUUAUAUUUAAUUAACUUCCAUUUACAUUGAUUCAAAUAAUAAGCAGUACCAAAUUUUUUUUUGUUAAUAAUAUAAAAUAUGUUAUUGGCAAUAAUAAAAGAAUGUAUUACAAAUAAUAAUACAUUUAAAUAUCUUGUAAUUUAGAUGUAUAUUUUUAUUAUUUAUUUCAUGUGGGAAUCCUCCUUGUUUUUCAGCAUCAAGUUCGUUUGAUUUAUUUAGUCUCAUUUAAAUAUCUUGUUCUUCCUUUUAAAAUGUAGUUCUUGUUGUAAUAACUAAUGAUUAGUAUUUUCCAGAUAAGUUCUCUGACCGUUUUUAAUCAUUAACUAACAAUUCAUAUUUUUAACGUUUAUUAAGAAUUUUAGGUUUGUCUAUAAAUAAAUGAAAGGAAUUAAUAACAAAUUUAGUGAAGGAUGAACAAUUUUGGUAGAGUUAGGAUGUAAACGAAAAUAUAAACAAUUAAUUGUGGCAUUAAGUAUGAGAAAAACUCAAUCUAGACCACUCAUAUUUUGAUAUAUCAUUUGUCAUUAGAUCUUUAAAAGUCUAAUAAACUAAGGGUUACAAAUCCUUUUUUUUCUAACGUGCUCGAGUUCUACAGGACAUUGGAGAAGUCCUAGAAAAUUGAUCAAGGCAACCUGGCUACAAUUGAUAGAAAGGAAACGUUUAAAGUGGCUUGAUUUACAAGAACCCGGUUCGCGAGUCCAUGGUUUCUCUAGGAAGCCUCAGUCGGCUUGCGGUACCACAAUUCAUAGAAGCAUAAAAAAUAGCUUGAUGUAACAAAGAUUUGUGCGUUCUUUUAAAUUCAGCAUUUGAGUUCGUUAUGAUGAAGGGUCAGAAUCAAUCACUAAAACAAGUGCCAUAACCUCAGCAUUGUAAUAAUUAAAAAAUAAUUUCUUGCGCAUGUACAAAGAGGUGAACCACUCGAAUGUAAACUUGAAAAGUGUUCACAACUGGAUUAAAUAAUGGACAAUUCAUAGUUAUUGUUAAUGUUAAAAGAAAGUAAUGGAUUGGGAAAAAAAAUAAAAAAUUAAGGAUAAUUUACAAUUAAUGUAGUCCUUGUGAUUUAAGGAAAAAUCAAGUAAGCCGGAAAUAAUUAGUACUAUUUUUCAAAUAAGUCCUCUGACCGUGUUUGACCAUUCAUCGUACUGCAAAGUAAGCGAAAAAAUCGACUUCUUAGCAGCCCACUUCUAUGAUGCGAUUAAUUUCAUCCAUUCGCUGAUUCGCGUGCUGGUAGUUAGGCAAGUUCAUUUGUUGGCUGGAGAAAUUUGAUAUUUUUGGUACCAAAUUUAUACGUGUGUGCGUGUGUGUUUCCUUUAAUUUGUGAAUUUGGUAUUACUUCUGAUCAAGUGUGCGAAACAGAAACAACGGUAUUUAUUACAGAAAUAUUUCUAAUUUGCAGUAUGGAAAGCUUGGAGAUGUUAAAUCUAUCCCAAAAUAACCUGUCAGGUUCAAUUCUAAGUAAUUUUGAAGAAAUGCAUGGCUUGUCAUUGGUUUAUGCAUCUCCUACAUUGAAUUACAGGGCCCAAUUCCAGUUGACAGAUACACAGCCAGAAAAUAAAUAAACUCCGUACGGACAAACUUGACACUCCCGCGGCCAGAUAUGUUCCAAAAUCUACUUAUAGCCAUAAUUUUGAUACAAAAGCCAAUGGAAUUAUUGCCCCUUAUAAAUUAUGAAUUACAUCCUAAUCUAGUUGCUUAAUUUUGGAUAGAAAAUCUUGCUUUGAUCAUUAUACCGCUUAGAAAUAUCAAAUUCCAAGGCUCGUCAUUAAUUGGGAUAAAAUUUUAUAUCUCAGCUUUCUAAAUAAUUUUACUUAUCAUUCAAAUAUAAAGUGGCCAGAGGACAUGCCGAGCGUCAAAAUGAAAGGAGAGAGGAGUAGUAGAUAAGAUACGGGUUAGAAGGAGUCAAAAUUUGAUAAACUUUUUUGGAUUGUAUCUCACAAGUCACAACUUUUUUUCCUUUUCUCCUGUUUGGAUCUCAGUGUUUAUAUAAAGCAAAGAUUCAAGGCCCACGUGUCCAUAAGAUGAGCGAUGGUGUCUACCAGAUUAGUUCUCUGGAGUUUAGAUCACCGGGGUAACACAGACAUUGACUCCACUUCUCAAUUGCUCUUUUGCUUUCGCUGUAAUUGUUUUCUGCAACGUCGUUAAAUUAUAAAUGAGUGUUUGAUAACCUUUUCAAUUUCAAUCAACUUUUGUAUUACCUUAAUUAUUUUGUUUCCUUUCUGCGUAAUUGAUCUUGUGUUUUUAUAAUAUCAAUGGUGUCACGAACCUUGAAUAGAGUAUCUUUUACUGUUUUGUUGAUUCUAUUUUAUACGUGUUUGUAUUAGAAUUUUUACUUAUCAUUGAAAAACCGGGGGAUGAAAUCUAACACGUACUAAUUAAAUUUAUUUCAUGAUAAUAAACUAAAUUUAUUUCAUGAUAAUAAACUAAAUUAAUUUUUUUAAUAAUUUGAUAACUUUACCUUAAAAGAAAAACUUUGGUAUGAAUUAUAACGCUUACUAUGGCAUGAACAUGGACCCUUUUUUCCCAAUCCAAAGCUUAUCCUAUGUUUGGCAAGGUUUUAUAUACUGGGAGAGGGAUAAAUAGAGAAAAACAUAUCUAUUGGAACCGUACCUCCAACAGGAUAAGUUGGGAAAAGCAAUCAAUAAUUUAACUAAUUAAUUAAAAUUAUAAAAAAUGUUGAGGGUGGGACAAAAUCAAAUUUAUUUUUUAUCCUUUACCUCCCCAUGAUACUAUUCAGUCAGGGCCUAGAGACAAAUUAAAUUAAUUAUUACUAAGAUAACAAUAUUAUAGGUAAAACAACUUACUUUUUAUCCUGAGCCCACACUCUUACAAUGUAAAAUCAAUAAUUUUUUAUAUCAUGAGUGACAUAGAACUUGUUUCCCAACUUUUUACUUAUAUUAUUAAUUUAAAGAGAACUUUACAUGAAGUGAUUUAAUUUAUAUAAAACUGAGCUAACUUACUGUUUUUUUUUUCGGGCUAAAAUUUUUAAGUAAUGACGUCUGAACUAACGAAAAUUUUCACUUACAUAUUCGAGUUCCAACAUAGUAUGCCAGUGAUAAAAACAAAAAAAUUGAAAAAAAAAAUAAAACGUCAUCUUACUGUUUAUUUGAUGGAAACCAAAUGUUCAAAGUGACUUGAUUUACAAGAACCCGAUCGGCGAGCCCAUGUUUUGCCUAGGUAGCCUCAGUAGCCAUGCGUUGUAAUAAUUAAUAUAAGCAUCAAAAAGAAAAUUUGUUUUGAUGUAAUAAAAAUUUGUACUUACUAAAUUCAGCAUUUCAGUUCGUUAUGAUGAAGUUUCUGAGUUUCGUAAUCAAGUAAAAUAGCAUCCUUUAUUAGCUGAGUCAAGUAUAAAAUUAAGGUGCUGAUGGGCAGAGUGAUUUGAGAUUAUCACACCAGUGAUCGUUGCUAGCUCUGAGUGCAAGAUAAUGUUUGUAAUCUUGUUAAUACUCUGUAUAAAUAAUACUCUCUUCCGAAAUCCGUUGAUCAUAUUUGUCUUUCACCUUGCAGAACUUGCUCACACAAUGAAGAUUACUGCAUAUUUGUCAUUUCUUUUUUCCAAGGAAAUUAUUAUGACAGUAUUGAGAUUUGAAAUGAUUGUUUGCAAAUUUUAUAGUUUAAAAUUAAGCAUGGAUUUAUUACCAAAGUAUGUUUAUUCUUUGCUCUAUGCUUAAUUCAUCAUUACUUGAUUACAGAUAAGUAAAUUAAUUUGAAAAUUAAGCUCGAAGUGUUAUAUGCAUUCUUCCAAUAUUAAUUACAAGCAUUCAAUAUGAUGAAACUGUUACAAGGUGCAAAUCAAAAUUAUGGUAACAAUGUUAGUAAAUAGGAAAGCUAGCUAGUCCCGACAAAUUCAAUACAGUCUCGUCUAUUAAAUGGGUCGAUACGAAGGUGAAUAGAAAUUAUAAUUCAACAUUUAAAGUCUCUCUGUCUCACUCAUUUUAAUAUCUUAAUCAAUGCACAUUAAUUUGAUGACAAAAAAUAAGGGUAUGGAUAAGCCAACCCCAAAAUAUUUAGAAUUUCCAUCCUCUCUCUGGCGUAAUUUUCGGGGAAGCAAAUGCCCAGUGAACAAAAGUUUGAUCAAUCAAUGAUUGGAUCCAAAGAUACGUAAAUUAGUCAAGUCUUUCCAUUAAUUUUGAUCACAAAUGUUUAUCCUAUUUUGUGGGACGACUUGCCAUGGACUUUAAUUGUAGUUGGAAGGGGAGUGGCUAUCAAUACAAAGAUUAUUUUGACAGGAUUGCUUGCAACAAGUGAACGUUUUGUUUGGGUAAUUUUAAAAUUGUAGAUGUCUUUUAAGACUUUUGCCUUAAGCAAUGGGGAAAACUCUUCCCUACUUGAUCAAGCAUCGACUCAUACACCUCUCAAUUGCUAAUCUGGAUUCUAUAUAAUUUUGGCUCGUGUGGAAAAAGCUACUCGUGGAUUCCUCCUAAUAACUCCAAUGAUUUUUCCUGAAAUUAAAACCAUAAUCUUUAGCCUUUAACCAUUUAGACUUUGGGCACGGACGAACGGUGUGUUAUGUAGUUCAUAGUCGAAGUGAAAACGGUCUAUAUUUUAGCCAAUACUCGGUUUAUGAAAACAUAUAUAUUUGUGAUCAAGAUUAAUGGACAAAUUGAUUAACGCUUUUUGUAUCCUAAAUAAACUUGUUUACUGGGCAUUUCUCCCAAAAAGAUCGCGCCAAUCAAAGAAAGGAAAAAUAUUGGCCGUACAGCACAGGGUGUUAGUUGGAAGAAAGGAAAAAUAUUGGGCGUACAGCACAGCUGCACAACCUUAAUAUCAAACGGACUCUAAAUCUAUUUGCAGAGGUACGUAAGUUCAACUAAUUAAGUAAUCUAAUUUUUGAAGGUAUAUGCCUGUAAAUUGAUUCCUUUCCCCCUAAAAAAUGAGUUCCGUUAGAUUAAUUAACUUUCAAAGUAUGUUUUUAUGUACCGAAUAUUGGCUAAAAUAUAGACCGUUUUCACUUCGACUAUGAACUACAUAACACACCGUUCGUCCGUGCCCAAAGUCUAAAUGGUUAAAGGCUAAAGAUUAUGGUUUUAAUUUCAGUUUUAUUACAGUCUCUGAAUUCUGACUUCUUUUUUCUUAUUUUUUUAAAGUCCUGUACGCUGGUGGCAUAUGUAUUAUACAAUCUGGGUAUAUCUAUUGGGAGUCUGAUUCAUACAUAUGAAACAUUUAGUGACAGAAUAAAUUCGAAUUAGACUGGGACCACACCAUUUUAUCCUGAGGCCACACUCUUAUAAGGUAAAAUCAAUAAUUUUUAUAUCAAGAAGUGACAUAAAAUUUGUUUCCCAACUUUUUAAAUAUAUUGUUUAUUUAAGGAGAACUUUACGUGAAGUGAUUUUAUUUGUAUAAAAAUGAGCUAACUUACUGCUUUUUUUUUUGCCAUAAUUUAUAAGUAAUAACGUCUGCGCUAAUGAAAAGUUUCAAUCAGAUAUACAAGUUCCAAUAUAGUAUGCUACUGAUAAAAAAAUAAAAAAAUAAAAAAAUAAAACAUCAUCCUGCUGUUUAUUUGAUGGAAACCAAAUGUUUGAAGUAGCUUGAUUUACAAGAACCCGCUUUGCGAGUCCAUGUUUUGUCUAGGAAUCCUCAGUAGCAUAGGCGGUGCCACGUUAGGACUAGAGCCCCCCUAACUUUCAAAAUUACAAAUUUAAUUUAAUAUUUAUCUCAUUUAUCAUAAAAUUCCCUAUUAAAAUUAAACAAAUAAUCAAAAUAUUAAGUAUUUAUCUUUAACUUCCAACCCACAAAGAUAUUGUUAUUUUGAGAUUCGUUGCACGCUAACUCUCCUCACACAAAAAAAAAAGAAAUUAUUUUAUCUUAUUGCGUUUAUUAAAAUGAUUUUACUUCAAUAAAUCUUAUGACACUUAAAAUUCAAUUUGAUGUUUAUAUUACAUAGGUGGGUUCUAAUAACAAAUUUUCAAAAUUGAAAGAGAUUGAUAGGUUAACAAGAAAAAUAGUUGAUACUAAAAAAGAUAAAUUAUGUUCAUUAAUUUGUUUAUUGAUAACAUUAGUAUUAAAUUUACUUGUUGUCAUAACUAUAGUAGUAAAAGGCAUUUUCAACUAUGAAUUUUGUGAAAAAUUAUCUAUGAAAUUAGAUUAGAGAUUAAUAAUUGAGUAAUAUUAUUAUUACACAUGUAGAAAAAGAUUAAUUUUGUAUUCUUGAUGAUAAGUUUAUUUUUUAAUGUUUUUAACAUAUGAAAACACGUCGAGAUCAAUUAUAAAUGUAUUGAAUAUAUUAAUGAAUUUUUAUUUUUGAUACUUGUUAUUUAUUGACAUUUUUCAAAUUACAAUAUUAUUUAUACUUAGCCCCUGCUAAGUUUAAUUUCUGGCACCGCCACUGCUCAGUAGCUUUGCGUUAUCAAUCACAAUUAAUAGAAGCAUCAAAAAUAGCUUUUUUUUUAAAUGUAAUAUAAGAUUUGUACUUCUAAGUUCAGCAUUUGAGUUCGUUACGAUGAAGUUUCUGAGUUUCUUUACGAACUAACAUAACAUCCUUUGCAUUUUCUCAUCAAAUAAUAAUAAUAAUAAUAAUAACAUCCUUUAUUAGCCGAGUCAGGUAUAAAAGGUGCUGAUGGGCAAGUGUGUCGAAGCAGAGUGAUUCGUGAUUAUCACAAAUGUGAUCUUAACUAGCUCUGUGUGAAACUGGUCGAUAUGAAUAUAAAAAGAAAUUGUAAUUCAACUUUUAAAGUCUCUCUGUCUCAACCAUUUUAAUAUCUUAAUCAAAAGGUACAUUUGAUGGAAAAAAAAAAAUAUUUGAUGGCAAAAAAUAUUUAGACUUUCCAUUUUCUCUUCGCCAUAGUUUUGAGGAGAUAAAUGCCCAGUAAGCAAGUUUGAUCAGUUGCUGUUAGGAUCCAAAUAAACGUUACUUAGUCAAUUAAUUUGUCCAUUAAUCUAGACCAAAAAUGUUUAUUCUAUUUUCAUAAUUCAACCCCAACCUUGGGCAUGGAUUUUUUUUUUUUAAAUUGUUACAAUAUGAGAAUCUAAAAAUUAAAAUUUAUGGUGUGUUUACUUGUGAAAUUGGGAAAUCGAAAUUCACAGUGGGAAUGAUUGAUAUUUUUUACUUGUUAAAAUGGAAUGGAGAAUCGGAAUGAAAUAUGUAAUAUCCACAUAUUUUUUAGUCAAGGAAAAGAAAUUUGAUUCGCAUGGGAUUGAGAAUCAAGCUUGCAUUCCUUGAAUUCACCAUUUUUCCCAACACACAUUUCAUAAUUUCAUUUUUUUUCCUCAAUUAAAAUAUUAUUUGAAGUUAUUGUCAUUAUUCUAAUAAUAAUAAUAAUUUUAAAAUAAUAAUAAUAAUAAUAAUCAUCAUCAUCAUCAUCAUAAUGAUAAUGAUAAAUAUAAUAAUAAUGAAAAUAACAACAACAAUAAUAAUAACGAAAAAUAAUGAUAUUAAUAACCAUAAUAAUAAUAAUGAUAAUCUAAUAAUACUAUAAAUAACUAUUAUUAUAAUAGUAAUAAUACUUUACAGUUAGUAAUUUCAUCAUUUCACAAGCCUCCUUCAGUGGCUGAUUUUGGGCAUCUUGCGGAUCUUCGCGUUUAUCAUAUCCACCUUUUAAAAGAAGAAGAAGAUGAUGACGAUGAUGUGGUGUGUGCGUGUGUUUAGAACUGUACCUUCAGCCAGUCUUUAGUUUUAAGAAAGAGUAGGAGAGGAGGGGGAAAAAAUGGAGAGGAGUGGAGGGGUAAUGAGAAAUUGAUUUCUAUUGUUUGGCUUUACAAAAAAAUUAAAGGGAAAGAAAUUACAUGUUUUUUUUUUAUUUGGACAAGUACACCCAUUGGACUUUAGUGUUAAAAUGUUAAUAUUAACAGUAAAUAUAAUAAAAAAAAUUAAACUAUAAAUUAAAUUAAUCUAGAACACAAAUUAAUAAGAAAACAUUUAAUUUUAUAUUAUAUUUUUAAUUAAUUGCUUCUUAUUUUAUAAUCAAAAUAACUAACCAAAAAGUAGUAGAUGGGCGACAAGUCGUAUAUCGACGUAGAAGAAAAUGAGAUACCGCUCAAACGGUGAUUGAUUUGACAGAACCGCAAUCAAGGGAACCAUUUUUUGGAUAAGUUUAGAGCAAUAAUAUUCAGAUUGCUAUGUAAAAAAUAUCCCAAUCUUGGAAAAGUUUUCCACCUUAUGAAACAUUGGAAAAAUCUUCCCAACUUGACGCAUCGACUUGUUGACCUCUCAAUUGCACUUGUGUGUGGCUUCUAUAAAUUUGGCGUCCAGCAUGCUUGUUUUCUGCACCUUUGUAUGUUUUCCAAAAGCUAAGAGUCAUCAAAAGAUCUUUUGAAUUUCAAUAACACUUCGGUUUAACUUUAUUUAUUUGAUUCUGUUUUUGUAAUAUCAAUGGGGUCACCAACCCUCAGUACAGUAGUUCCUUCACUUGUUUUGUUGAUCCUAUUUUUUGUGUUAAGUUUUUUAAUAACUGUUUCUUCAGAAUCUAAUGAAGAAGCUGAUGCUCUUCUCAAAUGGAAAGCCAGCCUUCAAAGCCAUAACCAAUCUCUCCUUCCUUCCUGGACUAACGCCACCACCAAUGUUUCGUCCAAAAUAAGCCCGUGUGCUUGGUAUGGAAUCAGUUGCAAUGACGCUGGAAGAGUCACCAAUAUCAGCCUCAGAAAUACGGGAUUAAGUGGUACGCUUCGUGAUUUGUCAUUCUCAUCGUUUCCUCAACUUGUGCUUCUUGAUCUCAGUCAUAAUGGAUUGUUUGGUACCAUCCCAUCUCAAAUUGGUAACCUUUCGAAACUCAGCUACAUUUCUUUAGAUUCCAAUCAGUUGUCCGGAAAAAUUCCAGCGGAGGUUGGUCUUCUGACUCAUUUGAAGAACCUUGGUUUUCAAUUCAAUCAAUUAGAUGGCUCAAUUCCACCAGAAGUUUGUCAGUUAAGUUCUAUCGAGGAGCUUUUCUUAUACGCUAACCAUUUAAACGGGUCGCUUCCUCCUUUUUUGGGUAACUUGAGCAAUAUCAUUCGAUUGUAUAUUAGUAAUAAUUCACUUUCUGGUUCUAUUCCUAUGAAUAUUGGAAACUUGAAAUUUCUUUUUGAAUUAGAUUUGAGUGAUAAUCAACUUGGUGGUUCAAUUCCUCUUUCUUUUGGUAACUUGAGCAAUUUGGCUCGAUUGUACCUUUAUGAGAAUUUACUCAUUGGUUCUAUUCCGUCAAGUUUAGGAAACUUGAAGCUCGUUGAUUUACAGUUGAGCUUUAACCAACUCACUGGUUACAUCCCAUAUUCCUUGGGUAAUGUAACAAGUUUAUCAUCUUUACUUCUAGACGAAAAUAAGCUUUAUGGUUCUCUUCCUCCAUUUGUUGGUAAUUUUACCAACCUGAGACUAUUUCACGUUUAUGAUAACUCUCUAUAUGGCUCUAUUCCAAGGGAAAUAUGGAACUUGAAAUCUCUUGUCUCCCUAGAUCUGAGCAAUAAUCAAUUUAGUGGUCCAAUCCCUGUUUCUUUCGGUAAUUUGACCAACCUAAAAGAAUUAUACCUCCUUAAUAACAGCCUAUCCGGUUCCAUUCCUCCCUCCCUUGGGAAUUCAAUGUUAACCGAUCUAGGAUUGGAUUUCAAUCAUUUUACAAGUUAUUUACCGCACAAUAUUUGUCGAGGUGGAGCAUUACAGUAUUUUGGUGUUUCUGAAAACCAUUUUCAAGGAACAAUCCCUAAAAGCUUGAGAAAUUGCACAAGCUUAAUCCGAGUACGCCUUAAUGGAAACAACCUUACUGGAAAUAUAUCAGAAGCUUUGGGCAUUUAUCCUAACCUGACUUUAAUAGAUCUCAGCCGCAAUAACUUUUACGGUGAAAUCUCAUCUAAUUGGGGGAAAUGCCCAGAAUUAGACACUCUUAAUGUUUCGAUGAAUAACAUUACUGGAGGUAUACCGCGUGAGAUUGGAAACUCGUCUAAAAUACAAGCACUUGAUCUUUCAUUGAAUCAUAUAGUUGGGGAGAUUCCAAAGGAACUGGGAAAGUUAAAUUCUCUAACCAAGCUCAUUUUGAGAGGGAAUCAACUGACAGGGCGUCUACCUACAGAAAUCGGCUCACUCAUUGAACUUGAACGCCUCGACUUAUCUACAAAUAGGUUCAACAAUUCAGUCCCAAAAAGUCUCGGCAACUUGUUGAAAUUGUAUUAUUUGGGCUUAAGCAACAACCAGUUUGUCCAAGAAUUGCCAAAGGAAUUGGAGAAGCUAGUUCAUCUUUCGGAAUUAGAUUUGAGUCACAACUUUCUUGGAGGAGAAUUACCACCUCAGAUCUGCAAUAUGGAAAGCUUGGAGAAGUUGAACCUCUCCCACAACAACUUGUCUGGAUCAAUUCCAAAUUGCUUUGAGGGAAUGCAUGGUCUAUCAGUCAUUGACAUUUCUGAUAAUCAAUUGCAAGGCCCAGUUCCAAAUAGCACAGCAUUUCGGAAUGCCCCAGUGGAAGCGUUAGAGGGGAAUAAGGGAUUGUGUGGAGGUGUGAAAGGAAUGCAACCAUGCAAAGUUUACUCGUCACACAAGCAAAAUUCUGGAGCCAAGUGGUUUGCAAUAGUGUUCCCUGUUUUAGGAGCACUAUUUGUUUCAAUGGGGUUGAUAGCAAUUUUCAUUCUUCGAAAGCGGAAGUCAGACUCAGGAGAUCCACAUAGUAGCAGCCAGAACCCUCAGGGAUUGUUUUCUAUUUUAAAUUUUGAAGGGAAACUUGUGUACGAUGAAAUUGUUAGAGCAACAAAUGAUUUUGAUGCAGAGUAUUGCAUUGGAAAUGGUGGACACGGAAGUGUUUAUAGAGCUGAACUACCAUCUGGGACAGUCGUAGCUAUUAAGAAAUUUCACUCGCCACUCCCAUGUGAUCAGAUUGCAUAUCAAAAAGAAUUCUUGACCGAAGUUGAGGCCUUGACAGAGAUACGACAUCGAAACAUUGUGAAGUUUUAUGGAUUUUGCUCACAUGCCCGACACUCUUUUUUGGUCUAUGAAUUUCUUGAAAGGGGUAGCUUGGCUGCGAUCUUGAGCAGUGAUGCAGCAGCACAAGAACUGGGUUGGAGUCAGAGAAUGAAUGUGAUCAAAGGCGUAGCUGAUGCCUUGUCUUACUUGCACCAUGACUGCUUUCCUCCGAUCGUCCAUCGAGACAUAUCAAGUAAGAACUUGUUGCUGGAUUUGGAAUAUGAAGCUCAUGUUGCAGACUUUGGAAUUGCUAAGUUUCUGAAGCCAGACUCGUCCAACUGGACUGAAUUUGUAGGCACAUACGGAUACGUUGCACCAGGUAUUUAGUAUUCGUUUGUUACCAUUUUGAGUAAUAUUUUUUUGUUAUGUGUUUCGUAACAUAACAAUGUACCUAGAUAUUGUUGAAAAAUUUAUGUAGUACAUUCAGCAGACUUGUAAAAGCUUACUAGUUUAUGCACAUUUAUCUCAUAAACAGAGUAAACAUUUUUUUUUUUGGGUCCUUGACCUUGCAGAGCUUGCUUACACAAUGAAGAUCACAGAGAAAUGCGAUGUGUACAGUUUUGGAGUGUUAGUGUUGGAAGUGAUCAAAGGGAAGCAUCCAAGAGAUUUUCUUUCUUCGAUUUCAUCUUCAUCUCUCAACACGGAUACAGCACUUGAUGAAAUGUUGGACCCGCGUCUUCCAGCUCCAUCAAGCAGUGUUCAAGAAAAACUGAGAUCAAUCGUUGAGGUUGCGUCUUCAUGCUUAAAUGAGAAUCCGAAGUCUAGACCAACUAUGAAGAUAGUCAGUCGACAAUUGCAGAUUUCAGCUGCCUUGACUGAGUCUUAAUUUUCUAAGUAUACUUCUAAUUUACUUGGUGUCCUAGUGAUUUAACCAAAAAUCAAAUAAAGCAAUAAUAAUUAGUUUUUUUUUUGAAUGAUUUGUCUUAGCUUUGAGUAAACGAUUUGAAGGAACUUAUCGCUCUCACCAAUUGUCUUGAAUGCUCUAAUGGCUUAUACUUUGUAGAAUCGCCAAUGUUGUGAUAACAACUUCGAUGGUUAAAGUUUGAUUGUGAAUCUCGAUUGAAUGACUUAAUUUACAUUUGAUUCUUAUGCAGACCUCUACCAAGUUAAUCUUUUUUUCUGGAUGUUUAAUUUUGUUAUCUCAAAGUUAAUUAGCUGAUGUCCUAUAUUUGAUCAAUGUGGAUGGCGGAUCAAAAUUAAAGAAUUCUUGAACGAAGUUGAGGCCUUUACAGAGAUACGACGUCAGAGCAUUGUAAAACAUGGCUGACAUUCAAUUAUAGUUUAUGAAUUUCUUGAAAGGGGUAGCUUGGCCAUAAUCUUGAGCAAUAAUGCAGCCACAGAAGGGUUAAGUGGGUUGGAGUCAGAGAAUGAACAGGAUAAAAGGCGUUGUCGAUGCCUUGUAAUAUUCGUUUGUUGCCAUUUUGAGGAAUAUUAUCAUCCAACACAUUCUAUAGAGAUAUAAAAGCUUACUAAUUUAUACGCAUUGAUCUUUCAAAAGCAAGUAAACAUUUUUUUUUUCUUUUUUAUUUGUCCUUGACCUUGUAGAGCUUGCUUACACAAUCAAGAUCACAUAAAAAUGAGGUGUACAGUUUCGGAGUGUUAGUAUUGGAAGUGAUCAAGGGAAAGCAUCCAAGAGAUCAGAUGUAUUUUUUCCGCAGUUUCAGCUUCAUCUUCCAAUGCCGCUUGAUGAAAUGUUGGAUCCUCAGCUUCCACUUGAUCCAUAGUUCGAUGUUCAGAGCAAGUUGAUCAUUACUGUUUGAAUUUUAAAUAUCUGCCUUCAUUUCUCAUUGCUGCACAAGUUAAUUAUACGCAUCAUGCUUAUGCAGGCCUUAAUUCGGAGCAAAAGAAUGUUAUUAGUUGACAGAAUGUGCAACUAGAGAAGGAUUUCAUCCACCAAUUCAUAGUUAAUUAGUCUGUCUUCAACACAAAAUAGAAAAUUUAGUUGACAGAUGACCACAAAAGACUAGCUUCGUUUUUGCUAAAAAAUAAAUAAAAUCUGCUUCUAUGGCCCCUGUAAACCAACUCCUUCAAUGCCCCCAAUUUCAAAACUAUCAUUGAUAGAGAGCCAUUGAACCUGAGCUUCAUAUUCAACUUUUCAGCGUUCCAUUUCUAGCCUCAAGUUUUUGAGAGCUUGGACGCACUUGACACUACACAACCCUCGCGAGAUACGUCCCAAAAUCCUCUGAGCCAGUUUUGGUGAUCGGCUGAGCUUGUGUGGACUACUAAGCACCAAAUCAAUAGUCGUCCAACAUGAAUUUCACGUGGAUUCCAAUCAACUCUUGACCAUAGAUUCUGUGCCCCCCAACACACUAUGCUUAUGGUUUAAAAAUAAAAUAAAUCAUGUUAAUGCUUUGUAUCAAUACUUAAUGCAUUGACAAUCAUUUUCUUUGUGCACCGACUUGUCGAUAAAGAAAGUUUAAUGGUCCAUCUAUUAGUUUACAUCUGCUUAAUUUUAUUGGAAUGAAACGAAAUUAAUAGUUUCUUUGUUUUAAAAAAUAAAUAACUAUAAUUUCUUGAAUAUUCGAUGAAUAAACAAAAGAAUUGUGAAUGAAGUUUUGUUUAGUAUUAAGGUAUUGUUAUCUUUAAAUCACAAUUAUCAUUAAAAAUAAAGGUAUAAUAAAAAAAGAAAUUGAUAAUUUGUAAUAAAUAUAAUUUUUAAAUAAUAAUUUUGAUAAAAAUAAUAAAGAUACUGUAAGUUUUCUAUCAUUAAAAUAAAAUCAUUUCAACUUCCAAAUCAUAGUGAUGAUAGAAUCAUAAAUUUUUAUAUAAAUUUAUUUUGUAUAAAUAGAUGCAUCAUAAAUUAUUAGUUAAAUAAAAAUAUAAAAUAAUAAAAUAAACUAUAUGAAAGAAAAAAUAUUUAAUUUAAUUAAUUUAAUUAUGUCAUGUUAAUUUAUAUAAAAUAAAAAGUCUUCUAUUUAUGUUGGCGUAAACCAGCACCGAUACAGACAGUAUUCUAUUUGCUCGAGUGUUCUAUCCAAUUUUUCCGUCCAAUAUGAUUACUCUUAAAAUAAAGGAAGCCGUGGACCCCACGAACGAGACAUCACGUUGGCCCACUAGUCUUGGUGAUAACAUCUUUUUCAUGUAAAAAAAACACCCCCGCUUUACAACGACACCGUCUUUUCUUUGUCUUUCCUUUCGUUUUCGUCAGCCUCCACCAACACUUCAAUAGCCGCCCCAUUUUCUUUCACUCCUAUCCAUUGUCCACGCGUCCGACCAUGAUUGCUUCACCGGUUCUAAUCACAAGAUUUUCGUCAAAUGGACGUACGAGAUGGGCCCCAUCUCUGCGCAGACCACACCGUCUACUCUCUUUGUCAAAGGAAAAUAAAACUAUUAAAAUCUCUAAAUCAUUCUAUCUUCUCGUGAUAAAUUGAAUUCAACUCUUUUUUUAAUCUUUUAUUUAUAAAUUGUAAAUAAAAAAAUCAAAAGCAUUCAACUGAAUAUUCCCUUUGAGAAAUUAUAAAAACAGAAUUAUACAGUGGUGAACUUCCUUGCACGAACAUGACCUUGAUUCAAUUUAUUGAACAUACAUAUAUGAUACUUUAAUAUACUUUUUUCUUAUAGUUUACAAAUUGUAGUGCUUAUUUUCUUUCGUAUACCAAACAAUAGAUGUGUAUGUAGGUUGAAGCAAAUAUGUUGUAUCGUAUUUGGUAAAAUAUUUAAUGUUGACAUCUUAUGCCAUUAUUAUUAAAUCUUCAAUAAAGAUUCUUCAUUGUAUUGAACAAAUUUCUAUAUAAUAUAAAUUAUGUAUUUCGUCAUAAUAGAAGCUGUCAAGAAAGAUUGUCUCAACUUUUUAUUAAGAAUUUGUAUUCAUAAAUAUAUAAUAUGAUCUAAACCUUAAACAUUAAAAUUGUUUCAUAACUUAGUUAUCAAUAAAAGAUUUAACAAUUUUUUAAUUAUUGAUUGUAAAUAUUAGCACAUUAUAAUAUGAUGGUUGUCGAAACCAGCAAAAAUAAAUACCUACUCUAAAAAAAUUGUGUAUAGUGAUUGAGCAGGGUCGUAUCCACAGAGAUCGGUAAUUAUUUAAAUCCCUUUAAAAUGUAAAAUGCAAAAUAAGGGGAUUGUUGACAAUAAUAAAAAUCAAAUUAAAAUAACAAGAAUGCAAAUUCAAAUUGUAAUUCAAAUUGGGAAAAGCUCUGGUUGAAGGAAUUAACUCAGCUUGAUUCGACUACUGAUUAUUGAUUCAAAUAUAAAUCAUUACUACUUAUGAAUAGUCCGGUUAUAGCUACUGAUACCCUCUAAUAGUCAAUCUCUCCUUAACUAGUCGAUAAUCAAGGUACGACCAUUAGUUAUUUUCCUAAUCAAUAGACAACCCUAGAUACGAUCAUAGGAUUUAAUCAAUUGACAGCCUGAAAAAUCAGAGAGACCCAAAUCAUAAUCAACAAACGCAUACGAUGAUUCAUUUAAAUUAGAUCGUACAUUUUUAUAACACAAUGCACUACUAUGCUAUUUGUCACAAACAUUAAAAUCUUCAUACGAUGAAUCUUUUAAUUGACAAUAGAUUAAGUUGAUAAUUAAAUAGUGGUCAAUUAUCUAGUUAACAAACAUAAUCAUGAUAAUAAUUUAGAGAAUAAAUAAAUACCCAAAAAGUAAUAAAACAAUUAAAGCAUAAGAAAGAUCUCACAGUAAUGAUGAAUCAAAGUUUUAUUAACCUUCAAUCAGAAUAAUAGGUUUAGUUCUUCAUAAAGAGAAGAGAAAAAUUUAGAUUUAGGGUUUUUUUUCUUCCCCUUUCCAAAAUCCCUUCCUCUCUUGUUUUUCACGUCUCCUUCCUCUUAUAGAGUUUUUUUUAAAAAUAAAAUACUAACAUCUAAAAUAUUAUCUAAAUAUUAAAUUCAAAAUUACAAAAAUAAUCAAAAAGACAAAAAAUGCAAAUUCAAAUUGUAAUUCAAAUUGGGAAAAGCUCUGGUUGAAGGAAUUAACUCAGCUUGAUUCGACUACUGAUUAUUGAUUCAAAUAUAAAUCAUUACUACUUAUGAAUAGUCCGGUUAUAGCUACUGAUACCCUCUAAUAGUCAAUCUCUCCUUAACUAGUCGAUAACCAAGGUACGACCAUUAGUUAUUUUCCUAAUCAAUAGACAACCCUAGAUACGAUCAUAGGAUUUAAUCAAUUGACAGCCUAAAAAAUCAGAGAGACCCAAAUCAUAAUCAACAAACGCAUACGAUGAUUCAUUUAAAUUAGAUCGUACAUUUUUAUAACACAAUGCACUGCUAUGCUAUUUGUCACAAACAUUAAAAUCUUCAUACGAUGAAUCUUUUAAUUGACAAUAGAUUAAGUUGAUAAUUAAAUAGUGGUCAAUUAUCUAGUUAACAAACAUAAUCAUGAUAAUAAUUUAGAGAAUAAACAAAUCAAAAAGACAAAAAAUAAUGAUAUAACUACAAACUCUUGUACAAAUUUAUUUUGUACAAACUGAUGUGGCAUGAUAAGAUUGGUUGAAUUAAAUAUCAUUUGGCCCACAUGAUUUGUUUUUAUUAUUUUAUAUUUUCAUUCAACCAAUGAAUUAAUGCCACGUCUGUUUGUACAAGAGUUUGUGGUUGUAUCAUUACUCAAAGACAAAAUACGUUAAACUAAAAACUACAUGUCCGUAGUUGACAGCACGCGCUCACGCCUUAUUAACAAAGUUCUUCUAAAACUCAUAAUUUCUCUGGGAAAACAAUCAUCAUCAAACAUCAUAUUGUAUCUUAAUUUUAGCACCAAUCAAUAGAAUUACACCUACAAAAAUAAAGCACAAGUAAAUCACUAUUAUUAAGUGCAAAACAUCGAUAUUAAAGGAAGUAAACAAUGCAAAACAAGUGCAUAAAUUACACUCUAACAUAAUACAAUAUUAAAAUAACCUUAAAGUUAAUUUAUUACUGUCACAUUAUAAAUCUAUAGAAUUAAUUUGAAUUAGUAAAAUUAUUAAGCCAAAGUCAGAAAGAUAUAUCAAAUUUGGCUAGUUAAUUUAUUAUUGUCACAUAUUAAUAUUUAAGUUAUUAGAUAAUGAUCCAACAUUAACAUUUGAAGUUUAUGCUUUAAUAAAUUGUAUAAAUUCGAUAACAAAAACAUUAAAUUCAAACAAAAGUAAAAUUUACAUGUUGUUCAGCUAGUCUUGGAAUGACAGAGUACUUGUUCAAUACUUCUUACGACCAAAAUAAUUUUUUUUGAUUCGCCAUGUCUUUCAAAUUUGUAAUCAAAUGGCAGAUGUUUUAACUAAAUUUGUACUCUGUCGCUUUGAUUUUUAUGUUUCGCUCGAUCCCAGCCAAUUACUUUGUUAUUUUUUAUUGGUUAUUCGGAAAUAAAUGAAGUCUAUUAUUCAGAAAAAUAAUUACCUGCAAAAAUCGUACUUCAUUUUCAAUUAUUCGUAUCCAAAAUCUUUCAAAAAGGUAAUAAUAUUCCGAAUUAAUUAAAAACAAUUAUGCGUAAGCAGGCAAGUCCACGAGAAACCAACCCAAAAGCGCAAAAGAAAAACAAAAGAAAAGAAAAAGAAACACGUUCAUUCAAUUUAUUGCGAUACGAUAAAUGCUUAACAAAACGUCAUAUCAAUUUCACCAUCAAAACUACGGUAAUUUCUUAUAUAGAUUAAAAAAAAUUUAAAAGCAAAUAAAAACAAAAAAAAAGCAACAACUGUACUGCAACUUAACGUUCCCAAUUUUCCAAUGAAUAAAAUAAGAGUUAUUUUAAAAUAUCUCUCCUGAGAUUUGAUAUAAUUUCAGUUAGAUGGUGAAAUUGAUUAUAUUCUCACUUAUCUUCUUUACAGUUAUUAUACAUACACGUAUAACGUUAGUAUUUAAGGGCAAAAAUAUAAAAGAUAUGUUGAAAAUCUAUAAAAAAAAAGUAACAAUUAAAAAUGGUUUGAAAUUCAUUAAAUAAUUAUAUUAUCCAAUUACACUAAAUAUCCAUUGUAUAAAAGAGUGAAUUUUUUCUUUCUCCAGCACAAAAAAAUAAUGAAAAUGUCUUGCUCUCACAUCAAGAAUCAAAGCAUUUUCCACACUCCACUCCCCUACUCUCAGGCAGUGUUUACUUUCUGGAGUGGGAGUGUGGAGUAUGGAUUUCUCCCACUCCAGUGUUUACUUACCUUAAAAAAGGGGGGAGUGGGAUUCCCACUCCGUGGGUCCCACCUAAUUUUGGAGUGGGGAGUGUGAUUCCCACUCCCAUGGGGGGAGGUGGGAGUGGGAAUCCACUCCCCUCUCUUCCCAUUUUACCCUCAUAAUUAAAAUAAAUAAAUAAUAUUUAAUAAAAUAAAUAAUAUCAUAUUUAAUAAAAUAAAUAUGUUAUAAUUAUUAUUUUUAAUAAAUAUGAUAUUAUUUUAUUUUUAAAAUAAAUAUUAUUUUUAAUAAAUAAUAAUUAUAACAUAUUUAUUUUAUUAAAUUUAAUAAAAUAACUAGAACAAAAGUAAAUAAACACAACGAGCAUAUAUAACCCAUGAAGAAGACAAGCAUGGGUGGUCGGGAAAGGCCACCGACCAGUGACGAUUGACGGCGGUCGGGAUAUGCCACUGGUAUUGGAGUUUGUAAGAGGUUAGUUACUUUAUCAAAGUCUAAAAUUUUUAAAUACCUUUAAUUUUUCUUAUUUUUGGAGAUUUCAUAAGUAGUUAUUGGUUGGGUUUGAUUUUCUUGUUCAUUGGGUUGAUGGUGGAAAAAUUGAUUAAAAGGAGAAUGGGUUCAACAAUAUGUGGGCAUGAGUUGAAAAAAAAUUGUUAUUGGUUGUGUUUUUGUUUGUGAUUUACACCAUAAAUAGUAUAAUAAAACAUAUAAAACCAAUAAUUUGUGAUUUUUAUGACAAAUAUGUAUGUAAAAUAGAAGUAGUCUUAUCUGUAAUGUUUAUUUUUUCAGCCAAAGUUUGCUAAAGUUAAUCUAUUUAUAAAUUUGUAGUAUUUUUGUGCGCCCGUCGCACAAACACAGUUUUUGUGUUUUUUUAGCGACAGGGGCCUGUCCCCCGUGCGACCGACCCACGUUGCACGAACACAAUUUGUGUUUUUGGGCGACAGCAUUGUCGCCCGUGUGACGGGCUUAUGUCGUCCGAAUUCAGUUGCUGUGUUAUUUAGCGACAAUGCUGUCGUACAGGCGACAACCCAUGUUGCCCAAAAAACACAGUUUAUGCUUAAUAUUAAUUCAAAAUAAAAAUAGUAAACAGACACACACACACAUAAUUAAAACAUAUAUAUACAUUAUUAUUAUCACAAUUAUUAUUAAUAACUUUAUUAAAAUGUAUUACUAUUAUCAUUAUUUUUCUUUAUUAUUGUAAACGUUGUUUUUGUUUUUUAGUAAUAUCGUUGUUGUUGUUGUUGUUGUUGUUGUUGUUGUUGUUGUUGUUGUUGUUGUUGUUGUUGUUGUUGUUGUUGUUGUUGUUGUUGUUGUUGUUGUUGUUGUUGUUGUUGUUGUUGUUGUUGUUGUUGUUGUUGUUGUUGUUGUUGUUGUUGUUGUUGUUGUUGUUGUUGUUGUUGUUGUUGUUGUUGUUGUUGUUGUUGUUGUUGUUGUUGUUGUUGUUGUUGUUGUUGUUGUUGUUGUUGUUGUUGUUGUUGUUGUUGUUGUUGUUGUUGUUGUUGUUGUUGUUGUUGUUGUUGUUGUUGUUGUUGUUGUUGUUGUUGUUGUUGUUGUUGUUGUUGUUGUUGUUGUUGUUGUUGUUGUUGUUGUUGUUGUUGUUGUUGUUGUUGUUGUUGUUGUUGUUGUUGUUGUUGUUGUUGUUGUUGUUGUUGUUGUUGUUGUUGUUGUUCUUCUUCUUCUUCUUCUUCUUCUUCUUCUUCUUCUUCUUCUUCUUCUUCUUCUUCUUCUUCUUCUUCUUCUUCUUAAUUAUUACUUUGUUUUCACUUAUUAUUGUCUGCAUAUUCACAUAUGAUCGAGACGAAAUGCCAAUUGAACCGUCUGUUGUUUCACUAGAACCUGCAGCAGAAAUGGACUGGUUUGACUUAGCAGACGAGAAUAAGUUUGCUCUCCCUGAUUUGAAUGAUGAGGUUCACAUUGAGUAGGUGACAGCAAUAGAAGCUUCUCUUGAGAGGAUGCCAGCAAAUGACGAUGGAGAUCACUAUGCGGAUGAACCUACAGAAAAUGAUAUUGAAAAUGAUUUACGUUAUGCUGAUAGCGAAGGAGAGUUUAAUGAAAUUGUUCGCGUUGCGCUUGAGUUUUUGUAUAUUCUGUAUAAAUGUGAUACUAACGAACUCACAUUAUAGUGACAAUGCCAUGUAUAAGGUAUAACUCAACUAUCACAGUAUAUUGUUAGUGCAGUUGUUCUUUUUGUUCUUUUUAUGUAUAUGAGUGACUGUUGGAUGUAGAGGUUGAUGAAAUUCAGUCAAUUUGUGACUGUCACCAAUUGUAAGCUGAGGAAAUGCACAUGUCGCUGUAAUUUAAAUUAUGAUGUCAUUCUACUUAGUAUUAUUUUCUAAUUCAAUUAACUCAUACUAAUUUUUUUUCCUUUUGGUACAAAUUUAAAUGUUUGUUAUUUAUGUUGUUGGUUUGGUGAUAUACAACUUGAUGGUUUGGAAUUUACUUAUUUCUUUAAACAACUAAAAUACUACUGGUUUAGUGUGAUGGAAUCCUUUAAUGUAUUUUGGAGACUGAUAUAGUCUGUUACUGAGAGAACUAAAUUAUAUUUUAGUGGUUUUGAUUUCACGCGACAGUUUCUGUCUCCCAAGAGACGAGCAUUCGUCACUCAAAAUUAGUUAAAAAAGUUUUCUGUAAUUUGGUGAGACAGCCACCUGUCUCUAGGGAGAUGAGCAUUUGUCACUUAAAAUUACAGAAACAAGUUUUCUGUAAUUUGGGGAGACAUAUACCUAUCGCCCAGGGGACAGUGCAUGUCACUUAAAAAGUAGGCGCGAUUGCGCUAAGCCCUGUUGCGUGCGCGAUUUUACAGAAAUCCAAAAUAGCCUCUUAAGCUUGUUGUCGCAAACGUUUUGUGCUAGAUGAUGAGUUUACAAAACAUGACUUUGCAUGAAUGCACCAUCAACACCUUAAUCUACCUAAAAUGAGACAAAAAAAAUCCUAACAGAUAUUUUGUCGAGCACCUCAUGUGCCAUUUAUUAACUACCAAUUUCAUUAAAUCAUUUUUAAUAUUUACUUGACAAUCAAUCCUAAUACUCAUUUAUAAUAAUCUAUACACUCAUCUGUCAUCAAUCAAUCUUAGUAUAUGUUACUUUAAUUCAACUAAUAUUCCUUUUGAGAAAUUAUAAAAACAAAAAAUUAUACGGUAGCCAACUUCCUUGCAUGAACAUGACCUUGAUUCAAUUUAUUGAAUAUACGUAAAUGUUACUUUAAUAUACUUUUUUUUUAUAGUUUACAAAAUGUAGUGCUUAUUUUCUUUUGUAUACCAAACAAUAGAUGUGUAUGUAGGUUGAAGCAAAUAUAAUUUUAUAAACUAACACUAUGUUGCAUCGUAUUUGGUAAAAUAUUUAAUGUUGACAUCUUAUGACAUUAUUAUCAAAUCUUCAAUAAAGAUUCUUCAUUGUAUUAAACAAUUUUCUAUAUAAUAUAAAUUAUGUAUUUCGUCAUAAUGGAAGCUGUUAAGAAAGAUUGUCUCAACUUUAUAUUAAGAAUUUGUAUUCAUAGAUAUAUAAUAUGAUCUAAACCUUAAACAUUAAAAUUGUUUCAUAACUUAGUUAUCAAUAAAAGAUUUAACAAUUUUUUAAUUAUAAAUCAUAAAUAUUAGCACAUUAUAAUACAAUAUUAAAAUAAACCUUAAAGUUAAUUUAUUAUCUUCACAUUAUAAAUCUAUAGAAUUAAUUUGAAUUAGUAAAAUUAUUAAGCCAAAGUUAGAAAGAUAUAUCAAAAUUGGCUGGAACUGCCUAUUAAAGUAACAUAUAUGUAUUUUAUAUGGAUACAUUAUGUAGCAAAAAAAAUGAAGAUUUUUGUAACAAACUUGGCAAAUAUCUAAAUUGCUAUGUUGAUACUAAAUAAUUAAUCGCUUUAAGAAUCCAUUUACUUUUGGUGUAAAUCAAAAGGAAGACGAUAGAUUCACGGAACUUCUGCCUCAAAAAAGCAAACGAUCCAAAUUGGAUAAAUAGUCAAUCAAUUAAUCAAACAAAGUCGUCUAAAUAUAAUGAGAACUUGACCUUUUGUUUUAUCUCAGCAACAAGUUGAGUGUUGUGUGACUUAAAAUUAAAAUAUUAAUCAAACUACAAAAUUAUAUCAUUUAAGAAAUUAUAUUUAGGUAUUUAUUUAAUUACAGGUUUAGUUAGUCACCGAGUGACUCUUAAGUGAGAAUGUUAAUUCCUUGAGCAUCAUGUGACACUUUCUUUAAAGAUUUUUGAAUUGUUUGAUGGUUGUGAGAGUAAAAUUUAAAAUAAUAAAAAUAAAUGUAAUUAUCAUGUUAAUGGGACCACAUUUUAAUCAUUAACUCAUAUAAGAAUAUGAAUUCAAAUAUCAUGUGAAUGAAAUUUGGGAAAAAAAAAAUAGAUUUGUUAACAUCACAGUUACAAGUUGACUUUAAAUUUUUAAUGAAUCUGUCAUAAUAUUAUUUUUUUUCUGAAUAAUCAUAUUAAUAUUUAAGUUAUUAGAUAAGGAUCCAACAUUAACAUUUGAAGUUUAUGCUUUAAUAAAAUUGUGUAAAUUCGAUAACAAAAACAUUAAAUUCAAAUAAAAGUAAAAUUUACAUGUUGUUCAGUUAGUGUUGGAAUGAUAGAGUACUGGUAUAGAAUUACGACGUUCAAUACUUAUUACGACCAAAAUAAAUUUUUUUGAUUCGCCAUGUCUUUCAGAUUUGAUUUUUAUGUUUGGCUAGAUCCCAGGCAAUUACUUUGUUAUUUUUUAUUGGUUAUUCGGAAAUAAAUAAAGUCUAUUAUUCAGAAAAAUAAUUACCUGCAAAAAUCGUACUCCAUUUUCAAUUAUUCGUAUCCAAAAUCUUACAAAAAGGUAAUAAUAUUCUGAAGUAAUUAAAAAACGACACGUAAGCAGACAAGUCUACACGAAACCUACCUAAGAGCGCAAAACAAAAAAAAAUGAAAAAGAAACACGUUCAUUUAAUUUAUCGCGACACGAUAAAUGCUUAACAAAAUGUCAUAUCAAUUUCACCGUCAAAACUACGGUAUUUUCUUAUAUAUAUUAAAGAAUUUUUUUUAAAGCAAAUAAAAACAAAAAAAAGCAACAAUUUCCCAAUGAAUAAAAUAAAUAUAAAGGACUCGUGCAUGCCUUCCAUUUCCCUCCUGUUUUUGUCACCCGCCUCCUCCUCAUCUCGCCACCUGUUUCCCCCACUACACCCCCCAAAACGUCACCGUUUCAUUCUCACUCCUUCCUCACCCCCCUCUCCUUUUCCCCACAUUCCUUCGUUUCAUAUCAACUCAAAAAUUCAUUCUUUCAACAUUACUAAUAAUAAUUUUAUUGAAAUAAAUCAAUCAAAAAGGUAACCCCAAAUAUCUCCUCCAGCUUUUUGCUGCUUCUUAAUUUUGAUCGACUAUGACGAUGUACUAAAGCUUCAAUUUUUUUCGGUUUUUUCAGUCAACGCUUUUGCUUCAAGAUUUCGUUUUACCUUCCUUGAAAAUUAAAGCUCACCUAAUGUUCUUUUUUUAACUGAAGAUUGAUACAAUUUUCACUUCAUUUUUUUCUUAACUUUGUAUCCGGAUUUGCUACUUUUGUUUAAAGUUUUUUAUUUUUUUAUAUUUUUCUGUGGAGCUAAGCAUGACUUUGGUUACAGCUUUAUAUUAUUUUAACAUAUAAUUAGACUAAUUUAUUUAUUUGUGGAUUUAUUAUUUUUAAAUAUGGUUUGAGACUUCUGAUGUUUCAAUAUUUAUUGCACACGUGUAGUGCAGUGGCUUUAAUGAAUGUGGUAUUGUAAAGUUUAAAGCUUUUUGCAUGUGAAUGAGUUGGUGUGUACUCUUUCAUUGAUGUUUAGAUUCAUGUAUGUGGUGAUCUUAGCUUUGGGAAUGGUAUUGAUUCUAUUCUUGUUUGUUUAUUCAUAUAAGAACUUUGAUGCAACCUUCAGAUUCCUUUUGAACCAUGUAGUUAUAUAUUUGGAUUAGUUUAUAGCAUAUCAACUGUUGAUUGUUGCAUUUAGAUGUUUUUUGUUACUUCCGCUCUUGAUUGCUUAUUAUAUGUUAGUUAAAGAGCAAACAUUAUACAAGUUCUUGAUUGAUUAGUGCUCUUUCGUAUAACGGGUUCGUGACUGAUGUUCACUUUCUUAUUUGACUUUGUUUAUGCAGUUCUUGUAGCGAGAUUGUGUAAUUUGAAUAUUCAGAUACUUCUGUAGCUGAUGGAUUCGCCAGAUAUUGAGUCUCCCUGGCUUUGUGCCGCUGGCGAAUCCUUCUGUGGGUCGUUUAAUAUACGUGUGGAGGAGGGGAAUGCAGCCGAUAUUUUACAUGUGCUGGAAGUUCCCACCUCUUCUGUACCCUAUAACUGUAGUAUACCCAAGCCACCCCCUCUCCCUAUUAAACCCUGUACAAAAAACAAAUAUCCCAAUAGAUUUUUACAUUGUAGUUUUGUUCCAAAGGAAACAAAUGAUGUAUGGGAUAAGCUUUUCAAGGAAGGAAAUGGUGCAGAUGUCUAUAUUAUCACCAUGGACGAAUCCUGUAUUCAAGCUCAUUCCAGUAUACUGGUUAGUUAACUGAACUUUGCCUUACUUCUCUGUUAAAAUGGAGCUACUCGGGAUUAUCUCAUUGACAAUUUCUUUAGUACUGUAAAGUAAUUUCAUUUCGGAGAUGUUAUGGAUGUUUAAUAGAUGUUCCAGUGGCUAUGUUAGCAAUUUUAGAACCGGCUUGAAGAGUUGGCAUCUAUUCAACAUAAAUAUACAGUGUUUGGAAUUACUCUGUUUAUAAAUGGAUAGAAGAAAUCCUGGGACCGUUAAUAUUCAAUUUCGAUGGGAGAAAAUUCCUGAAGUUAGAACUGUUAUUUGUGCAGAG